rnacentral:lncRNA from 1 species
GUUUUACCUCUGGGCUACAUCCCCAUCCCUAUUUAUUUUUUAUUUUGAGACAGAGUCUCACUAAGUUUCUGAGGGCCUUACCAAGGUGCUGAACUUGUGAUCCUCCUAUCUCAGCUUCCUGAGUCAUUGGGAUUACACAUAUGUGCCACUGUACCUAGUUACUUUUACUUUUGAGACAGUGUCUUACUAAGUUGCUGAGGUUGGCCCUGAACUUGGAAUCCUCCUGCCUCAGUCUUCUUAGUCACUGGAAUUAUAGAUGUGUGCCACCAUACCUGGUUUACGUUUAUUUUUUUUUAAUUAGUGCAUCAUAAUUAUACAUAAUAGUGGGGUUCGUUUUGCUGUAUUUAAAUGUGCACAUAACAUAAUUCGUUCAGUCUCUUAUUCUCCACAUUUCAAACUCUGUUAGUGAAAUAGGCUUCUGUUCAUCAGUUUAGGAAUAUAAACAUGAUAUAGUUAAGAACUUCGUUUUCAUUUAUUAAUUUGUUUGUUUUAUUUAUUUUUUCCUGUAUUGGGGAUUAAACUCAGGGCCUUGUAUAUGCUAGGCAUGUGCUGUACCACUGAGCUACAUUCCAAGCCCUAGAACUGAGUUUUUAUAAGAACUCUUUGUGUGUAUAUUUAUGUGAAACUGUACAUGAAGAUGGAGUCAUUCUGAUUUUCUCAUU